GAUGAACGCUGGCGGCAGGCAUAACACAUGCAAGUCGAACGCAUCCUUCGGGGUGAGUGGCAGACGGGUGAGUAACGCGUGGGAACGUGCCCUUCAGUUCGGGAUAGCCCAGGGAAACUUGGGCUAAUACCGGAUACGUGCGAGAGCAGAAAGAUUUAUCGCUGAAGGAUCGGCCCGCGUCUGAUUAGCUAGUUGGUGGGGUAAUGGCCCACCAAGGCGACGAUCAGUAGCUGGUCUGAGAGGAUGAUCAGCCACAUUGGGACUGAGACACGGCCCAAACUCCUACGGGAGGCAGCAGUGGGGAAUAUUGGACAAUGGGCGCAAGCCUGAUCCAGCCAUGCCGCGUGAGUGAUGAAGGCCUUAGGGUUGUAAAGCUCUUUCGUCCGGGACGAUAAUGACGGUACCGGAAGAAGAAGCCCCGGCUAACUUCGUGCCAGCAGCCGCAGUAA
rnacentral:rRNA from 1 species